rnacentral:rRNA from 1 species
UACGUAGGGGGCAAGCGUUGUUCGGAUUCAUUGGGCGUAAAGGGUGUGUAGGUGGCGCGCUAAGUCGGGUGUGAAAUUUCGGAGCUUAACUCCGAAACUGCAUUCGAUACUGGCGUGCUUGAGGACUGGAGAGGAGACUGGAAUUCAUGGUGUAGCAGUGAAAUGCGUAGAGAUCAUGAGGAAGACCAGUGGCGAAGGCGGGUCUCUGGACAGUUCCUGACACUGAGACACGAAGGCCAGGGGAGCAAACGGG